UCUCUGCUUUAUUUGGAAUUAUUACGUUAUUCUUUUUAACUCUUUAAGUUGUGUGAAACUCAUUUUGAAAUGGGGUGUUUUGUGAAUGUUUUGUUUUUCAUAUUUAAAACGCUCAUUAUGAUUUAUUCCUUGAUUUUGCAAUCAUCUAUAUGUCUUCGUUCCUGGAGGGAAUUCUUUCCGUUAUGAUUUCAGUUUUGCUCAGAAAAUAUUGUUUGCACGCUUCCACUCCUUUAAGAUGGUCUGGACUGUCCCUAGGAUCCCUUCAUUGGAUGGUCUCCGUCCAUGGCCCAGGUCCUACAAUAUACUUUAUGAGCUGGAGAGAUGACUCAGCAAUGAAGAGCACUGCUGCUCUUCCUGAGGACCCAGGUCUGGCUCUCCUUACCCAAAUGGCAGCUCACAAGCACCUGCAACUUCAGUGGAUUCGAUGACACUAAGUACACAGAUCGUAUAGCCUCCCCAGGACGGGAAAACCAUGUGAAGUGUAGCUGUGUUUCCCCGGCUCGUCUUGAACUUCUGUGCUCAAGCAGACCACCUUACCUUCGCCCAUUGAGUAGCUAGGACUACAAACGUAUGGUACUGUUCCUGACUUUCAAUAUUUUUCUAGAAUAGCUCACAGAAUUCACAGACUUAAAUUUAUUGUGAGGGAUGUUAGAGAGGAUACAGGGGAACAUAAAAGCACACACAGUUAAGUCCUAGGGUGUUGGGGGGAGUCCUAUGCGGCUGGACCAUGUGGAGGUGUUCUCCAGUCAGGAAGCUUGUCAAGCCCUUCACUUGGGGUCCCACAGAUGAUUCACCAUGUAGGCAUGUCUCCAGCCCCCUCUUUUUCCCAGAGGGGGAGCAGGCUGCUAACUAGACAUGGCCUUUCUGGUGAGCACCCCCAUCCUGAAGCUCUCCAGGUGCUCAGCAUGACACCCCUCAUUAUAGUAAAGGAAACUCUUACUGCCCAGGAAAUUCUCUGGAAUUUAGGGGGCUUGAGUCAGGAACUAGGAUCAAAGAUAAAACAGUAGAAAAGAAAGUUGCUAUAGGAAGGUACAGCAUUUAGGAUCUCCGCCAGGAACCAGGGGCAAGGACCCAGUGGGCACAUAGGGUCCCUCCGUUUCUCCUGUACUCUGGUCUUUGAUGGUUUGGACUUCAUCCUCGUGUUCCACACAGCGGCUCUUCAUCACACCAGGUCUUCCGAAGCCCAAGGACCUUUCUGGAGCUCCAGCUUAAGCUUUGGAUCUGUUAGGUGAUGAGGCACCCUGAUGGGCUUCAGUUGGUUAUGGCCACCAAGAUCAGGGAGCGCUGUUCAGUGGAGGAGAGAGAAAGAUGAAUUCAUCAAAGAAAACCGUGUCCAGAGGGUUGGGGUUAGGUGCUGUGGAGGCUGUGAGUGGCCUCUGACUUUCUCAACCAUAUGCUCAGAAGCAGAGCUGGACACAUCGAUCCCUCUCGUCUAUGUUUGCUUCGUGGGUGGUGAGUGUUUUCUGUUUGGACUGAAACCAAGCAGGGGUCUCUGAUGCCACAUUUGUGAGUCAAGUAACCAUUUCAUUGUUAUUCUUAGGGAAAAUCACUAAGAAAUCAAUUGAGAGUCAGUUUGCUGGGGCUUCUAAACGCUGGAGUUCAGACUAAGCUGCGUUUCUACCUUCUCAUUCCAAAAGGUGAGAAGUGAGGAGGGCAUUUCCAGAAAGGCCACUAGAACCGGAGCUUGCAGGCACCUACCAAAGGGACAUUUCCCCGGACGAGUGACUGAAGCGUGGGUGCCCCGGUGUUCUCGAAUAUAUACAUAUAUGUACCUGACUGGGUGUGGAUGCCCUGGUGUUCUCUAAUAUAUACAUAUAUGUACUUGA